rnacentral:hammerhead_ribozyme from 1 species
ACUAGCUUACGAGUCCCAAAUAGGACGAAACGCGCGUUAUCCUGGAU